AGUGAACGCUGGCGGUAGGCCUAACACAUGCAAGUCGAACGGCAGCACAGGAGAGCUUGCUCUCUGGGUGGCGAGUGGCGGACGGGUGAGGAAUACGUCGGAAUCUACUCUGUCGUGGGGGAUAACGUAGGGAAACUUACGCUAAUACCGCAUACGACCUACGGGUGAAAGCAGGGGACCUUCGGGCCUUGCGCGAUUGCAUGAGCCGAUGUCGGAUUAGCUAGGUGGCGGGGUAAAGGCCCACCAAGGCGACGAUCCGUAGCUGGUCUGAGAGGAUGAUCAGCCACACUGGAACUGAGACACGGUCCAGACUCCUACGGGAGGCAGCAGUGGGGAAUAUUGGACAAUGGGCGCAAGCCUGAUCCAGCCAUACCGCGUGGGUGAAGAAGGCCUUCGGGUUGUAAAGCCCUUUUGUUGGGAAAGAAAUCCAGCUGGCUAAUACCCGGUUGGGAUGACGGUACCCAAAGAAUAAGCACCGGCUAACUUCGUGCCAGCCGCCGCGGUAA
rnacentral:rRNA from 1 species